rnacentral:lncRNA from 10 species
AAAACAUUUAACCUAGCCUUUCACUAGGUUUCGAGUAAUACAAAAUAGAGUAGUAUAAUAUGAUCUAUGCUAAAUUCAUCAUUUUUAAAGUAGCCUAAGACUAUUAGCUGUUUUGUUGGCAGCCUAUACACUGUUAAGUUAUGAAGUGCACUGUUAAGUACUUAGUAUGAACGUUGAUGUCAAGGUCUUGGGCUACUUUUAAUUCAUGCCUUGCCCUCGCUCUACUUUUACAGUAACUAGCUCCAAGUAUAGGACAAGUCCAAGUCCGUCUGUGCUUGCUCCAGUCCAGCUACUUUUUCUACCCUACCAGUGUCUUUGUGGACUUGAGUUGAUUCAUUCACUAUUCAUAUGCAACUCUGAUAAACUAACCGUGUAAAAAUAAAACAUUGGCCUGGAAUCUCAACACUUUGGGAGGCCAAGGCAGGAGAAUUGCUUGAACCUGGGAGGCGGAGGUUGCAGUGAGCCGAUCACACCACUGCACUCCAGCCUGGGUGACAGAGUGAGACUCUGUCUC